AUGAAACUCUCGAAGAGAUUUACCAGAGGUGACACUUCCCUAACAAAACACGUAGUCAGGUUUCAGUAAACGGCAUAUAGGUAGUUAUCCAUCAUAUAUUUGUAAACAAACUUCACUUGUAUAUAGAAAAUACCACUUUAGAUUCUUGUGAUACGGCAAGUUCACUUUCACUUUGAAAUAUUCUGUAGCAUAAAGUAGCAUAAAAUUCAUUUUGAUUAGCAGGUCGAUAGAGAUGUGUGCGUGAGUUUGGACUAAGGUGCUUCGGCGAACGAUGCUUCCGUUUUUCAUCAUGCAAGAGUCUAUCGAGUUUUUUUUAAUGCACAUAGUUUUGUUACCUAAAAAUAGAGAUAGAAAUUUAAGUAAACUGAUGAAGAUUCACCUUUAGAUGUACUCUCCGCUAUUGAUUCUUGCAAAUUCAAUCCAAUUCUCCGCAAAAUAUCAGUUUUCUGCCUCCACGUUUAAUAUUAGUUAGCUUGCUUCUCUACGGACACAGUUUGACAGUUCCCGCUCAAGUUAGUUCAUUAAAGUUCAUCGCUCCGUCAAUUGUGACACAGGGUUGAUCUCGAAGUUGUCGGGUUGCCGUGCGAUGUUUUUGUUUAGUACAGAUAAUCUGUCAAUAAAUAACGAUAUGGAUGGAUUUCAUAACACUCUUUACAUAUGUUUGUCAACAGAUGGUUGAUGAGGGAAAUGUUGUGAAUCUUUACGUUCCGUUUGAACGCAAAAAAUCAGUAGUUUAGUCAAUAUUUAAAAUUGAUGCAUAUGAUUUUGAGCGAAGGUGUUCAGUUUUUCAUCAGGUAGUCGAAUAGAUUCGAUGUAACAGAAAAACGUUUACGUUACAAAAAUUUUACGUUUUGGAAGUUCUACAAAUCAGUUGAGAAUCGAAAAUCAAUGAUGUAGAAAACAUAAUUCUCGGACCCGAUGUAUGAGAUCAAACAAGUGGAUACAAUGACGGUGUAUGUCAAUUUACAGUAGUAGCAAUUGGAUACAACAUUAGCAUUAUACAGAUUGAUAAUUUAAAUAAAUUAAAGUAUUGUUUCAGGUUAUGAAAAUUUGAUCAAUAUCUCAUUGAUCAAAUUUUCAUAAAAUUGCGUGGUGUGGUGUAACGCUUAGUCACUUUUUUGAAUUGGACAUAGUUUUUCAAGAUUUUAUGUGUAAAUUAAAAGUAAUUAUUUUCAUUGAAUAUUUAAAAAAAAGGUUAACAUCGUUGAAUUUGAAAUGCACGGCUAAAUUAGGAUAAAAGCUCUUCUUUGUACUAAAAUAUUUAAGUCACUUUAUUAUACAACUUUCUAUAAAAGCUCAUUAAAUUAGGAUAAAAGCUCUUCUUUGUACUAAAACAUUUAAGUCACUUUAUUAUACAACUUUCUAUAAAAGCUCAUUGAAAUAGGAUAAAAGCUUUUAAAGUUAUUUGUACUAAAAAGUUAAGGUGAAACAUAGAUGGCCCAAAGGAGUCGAAAAUAUGAACUGUGGUUGACUCGUCUAAAUUUUUAGUUUUGUAUUAGUAAAUGUCAAAUUACAUGAUCAGUAAAAUUUUACGUUCGAUCAAGUUUCGUAGAAUAGAUUCAGCCAUUACCAAAUCUGAUCGGCAAGUGAGCAGACAGUUAGUUUCGGUGAUAGUGCUUUCAAUUUUUUCAAUCUAAGUUAUUAAAAAUAGUUCCGGAUUUAUUUUAUCACUGGGAACGGAAACUCUGCUCAUCUGUGCAGUUCUAAAUCUGUACAAAAGCGUCCAACGGACGCUUUUUUGUACGGGCUUCAAGCCCGCAGCUACACACUCCGCCAUUUUGAACAUCCACACGACCACGUGGGACAUUUCCGAGGACGCUCGCUCAUCCAGGCCCGCCACAGAGCUGGCAGUCAAACGGGUGGAGAGGAUUGUCUGGCCUGCCCGCAUUCUGAGAGGAGUGAUCGGGUAGCGUACUUGGACCUGCCGAAACCCUUCCCCGCACCUUUAUUCCGGCCAUCAGUGAUUCGAGCUUCUUUUCCGAGCCGUCCCUCGAAGGAACGGGAUCCCGCCGGCCCCGGCGGCAAACCCUUGCUCCGCCGCUGCGCUCGCCAAGAACAUCGCACUCCGUCCGUGCACCCCUCGUCAGCUGACAGCAUAAGUUAAACCCUGCGCAGGUAUGUCCUCAUAAUCAUGGCCAUGAACACACUACACAACACACACUCACACACUCUCACACUGGAUGCUUAAAACGAAAAAAUGAAUUAAUACAUAAAAAUGAAUUCAAACUCAACA